rnacentral:rRNA from 1 species
AGAGUUUGAUCCUGGCUCAGGAUGAACGCUGGCGGCGUAGCUUAACACGAUGCAAGUCGAACGGGGUUAAGUGAAACCUAGUGAUCUUAACUUAGUGGCGGACGGGUGAGUAACGCGUGGGUAACCUGCCGCAUGCAGGGGGACAACAGAGGGAAACUUCUGCUAAUACCGCAUAAGCGCACGGGAUCGCAUGAUCCAGUGUGAAAAGAUUUGUCGGCAUGCGAUGGACCCGCGUCUGAUUAGGCAGUUGGUGAGGUAACGGCCCACCAAACCUACGAUCAGUAGCCGGCCUGAGAGGGUGAACGGCCACAUUGGGACUGAGACACGGCCCAAACUCCUACGGGAGGCAGCAGUGGGGAAUAUUGCACAAUGGGGGAAACCCUGAUGCCAGCGACGCCGCGUGAGUGAAGAAGCAUUUCGGUGCGUAAAGCUCUGUCAGCAGGAAAGAAAAUGACGGUACCUGACCAAGAAGCCCCGGCUAACUACGUGCCAGCCGCCGC